rnacentral:rRNA from 1 species
CCUACGUGCGGCAGCAGUGAGGAAUAUUGGUCAAUGGACGAGAGUCUGAACCAGCCAAGUAGCGUGAAGGAUGACUGCCCUAUGGGUUGUAAACUUCUUUUAUAUUGGAAUAAAAUGUUCCACGUGUGGGGUUUUGUAUGUACCAUAUGAAUAAGGAUCGGCUAACUCCGUGCCAGCAGCCGCGGUAAUACGGAGGAUCCGAGCGUUAUCCGGAUUUAUUGGGUUUAAAGGGAGCGUAGGUGGAUUGUUAAGUCAGUUGUGAAAGUUUGCGGCUCAACCGUAAAAUUGCAGUUGAAACUGGCAGUCUUGAGUACAGUAGUGGUGUGCGGAAUUCGUGGUGUAGCGGUGAAAUGCUUAGAUAUCACGAAGAACUCCGAUUGCGAAGGCAGCUCACUAGACUGCAACUGACACUGAUGCUCGAAAGUGUGGGUAUCAAACAGGAUUAGAUACCCUUGUAGUC